rnacentral:tRNA from 1 species
GCGCACUUAGCUUUUUCGGUCAAAGCAUCACUCCUGAAGUUUGAGGUUGCGGGUUUGAGUCCCGUAGUGCACA